rnacentral:misc_RNA from 1 species
GAUGAAGAACGCAGUGAAAUGCGAUAAGUAAUGUGAAUUGCAGAACUCAGUGAAUCAUCGAAUCUUUGAACGCACAUUGCGCCCCCUGGCUUUCCGGGGGGCAUGCCUGUUCGAGCGUCAUUAUAACCCCUCAAGCUCAGCUUGGUGUUGGGGCCUGCCGACUGGCAGCCCUUAAAAUCAGUGGCGGCGCCAUCUGGCUCUAAGCGUAGUAAUUUCUCUCGCUAUAGAGUCCCGGUGGAUGCUUGCCAGCAACCCCCAACUUUCUAUGGUUGACCUCGGAUCAGGUAGGGAUACCCGCUGAACUUAAGCAUAUCAAUAAGCGGAGGA